GUUGAAUUCAAACUAAACCAUCACCUUUCGUAUUUUUAAACAGGCGAAAUGGAACGGAUCAAUGUUGCUGCUAUUUAAAAUGGCUACCUGUAUCUUUAAUGCUUGCUCAGGUCUGUUAGUGGUGUUUCAGCAGGUGUCUUAUUCCCUAGUUCCUCCUCUCCAGCUCCCCGGCCUUCCUGUCCUCUACAACAGCCUGGACGCCGAAGCGCAGAGCUCCCGUGUGGCGUGAAACUGGACAGAUGAGCGGUCAGUUCGAAGCCGGACUCACCUCGCGGUCCCAGGUGCCCACCGUCUCUCCGGCCGGCUGUCCUGACUGGAGCGUUUCCUCUCCCGGGGCUCCAGACUGCGGACCGCCGGAGCGUCUGGAUAACAGCCGGCCGAGUUACGACUGGACUGUUUUGUUCAGUUUUUACAAUAAACUAGUAUUUG
rnacentral:lncRNA from 1 species